CAGUAGCCGCGGGAAUACAGAGGGUGCGAGCGUUAAUCGGAUUUACUGGGCGUAAAGAGCUCGUAGGCGGUUUGUCGCGUCUGCUGUGAAAACUGGAGGCUCAACCUCCAGCCUGCAGUGGGUACGGGCAGACUAGAGUGCGGUAGGGGAGAUUGGAAUUCCUGGUGUAGCGGUGGAAUGCGCAGAUAUCAGGAGGAACACCGAUGGCGAAGGCAGACCUCUGGGCCGUAACUGACGCUGAGGAGCGAAAGCGUGGGGAGCGAAUAGGAUUAGAUACCCCGGUAGUCCCUGUCUCUUAUAC
rnacentral:rRNA from 1 species